GUUUAAAUAUAAUGUUCUCCUUAUUCUUUAUCUUUUUCUUCUUUUGGUAGAUAAUUUUUUAACUUAUUUAAUCAGAUUUGCCGAUUAUAGAAGAUAUAUCUAUAGUGAAAUACAUUAAAUCUGAGCAACGUUUGAAAAGUGUUGCCUAAAAUAUUUUUGGGAACACUUUUUAAAUGUAGCCUAAUUUUUUAACUUUUCGCAACGAUAAUAUUGGCAACACUUAUAAAGUAUACCAUUUAAUGAUAUAGACUACACUUUAUAAGCGUUGUCAUAGUAUGAAAUAAAUGGCAACAAUUAUGUAUAUAUAUGGCCACACUUUUAAAGGGUCCUAUUUUUAUAAUUGUAAAACAACAUUAUAGAAGUGUUGCCUAUAGUUUCCCUCCAACAUUUUCAAAUAUUUCACUAAAAUAUUUGAUUCCCUCCAACAUUUUCAACUCCCCCUCCUAUUAUUUUUGGCCAAAGCUGAAGAGUAGCACACAAUUUUUCUUCUCCAAAACUUUAAAUCGAAGAGUAGAAGAUGGAGAUCGAAGAAAGGACGUUGAAAACUGAAGAGAAGAGCUGAAGAUUGAAGAACUGAAGCUUAAAACAAACUUCAUCAAGCUAAUUGAUUAGUUUGAGAUUGUUAUUGCUGAAGAAUCGAAGAGCACUGUGAUUUCUCUGAACAUGAACUGAAGAAGACGAUUUUCCUCUCAGCUUAGUUGUUCAAGAUUGGAGAGCUGAAGAAGACGAUUUUCUUCAAAGAUUUCUGGGGAAAUGGAGGUGAUCAAAUUUGAAGUGGAUGAUGAAGAGUUUUUGAACUAUUGUAAAAGUUUAAAUACAUAUUUGAUUUAUUGUGUACACAUUUAGAAUAUUGAUGUAUAAGUAUGGGUAUGUACACAAUACAUACUAUCUUUUGGUUGUACAUGAAAUAUUUCUCGAUGUUUAUUUGAAAUAUAUAGCUUCAAUUUGAUGAUUAAUUAGUUCA